rnacentral:rRNA from 1 species
AUUGAACGCUGGCGGCAUGCCUUACACAUGCAAGUCGAACGGCAGCAUGGGUGCUUGCACCUGAUGGCGAGUGGCGAACGGGUGAGUAAAGCAUCGGAACGUACCCGGAAGUGGGGGAUAACGUAGCGAAAGUUACACUAAUACCGCAUAUUCUGUGAGCAGGAAAGCAGGGGCUCGUAAGACCUUGCGCUUUCGGAGCGGCCGAUGUCGGAUUAGCUAGUUGGUGAGGUAAAGGCUCACCAAGGCGACGAUCCGUAGCGGGUCUGAGAGGAUGAUCCGCCACACUGGGACUGAGACACGGCCCAGACUCCUACGGGAGGCAGCAGUGGGGAAUUUUGGACAAUGGGCGGAAGCCUGAUCCAGCCAUGCCGCGUGAGUGAAGAAGGCCUUCGGGUUGUAAAGCUCUUUUGUCAGGGAAGAAAUAGUCUGGGUUAAUACCCUGGGCGGAUGACGGUACCUGAAGAAUAAGCACCGGCUAACUACGUGCCAGCCGCCGCUGUAA